rnacentral:rRNA from 1 species
AUUGAACGCUGGCGGCAGGCCUAACACAUGCAAGUCGAGCGAGUGGCGGACGGGUGAGUAAUGUCUGGGAAACUGCCUGAUGGAGGGGGAUAACUACUGGAAACGGUAGCUAAUACCGCAUACCAUCGGAUGUGCCCAGAUGGGAUUAGCUAGUAGGUGGGGUAAUGGAUCACCUAGGCGACGAUCCCUAGCUGGUCUGAGAGGAGGACCAGCCACACUGGAACUGAGACACGGUCCAGACUCCUACGGGAGGCAGCAGUGGGGAAUAUUGCACAAUGGGCGCAAGCCUGAUGCAGCCAUGCCGCGUGUGUGAAGAAGGCCUUCGGGUUGUAAAGUACUUUCAGCGGGGAGGCGUUACCCGCAGAAGAAGCACCGGCUAACUCCGUGCCAGCAGCCGCGGUAAUUC